UCUGGGAUCACACAAGAAAAACAACUCUAGGGUAUGCCUGUGAGGACAGUUCAGGAGCUUUAACCCCAACCUGGGUUUCCAGGUUGAAUAUAAAGGAAAGAGAGAGCUGAGUGCCAGGAGUCAUCUCCUUGCUUUUUGGCUAUGGAUGUGAUAUGAUUGCCCUGUCUUUCUUUUUAUGAUAAACUCUACUCUCAAAGUGUGAGCCAAAAUAACGCUUCUUCCCUUCUUCUUGGAGUCACUUUUGUCAGGUGCCUUGUCGCCACAGUAAGAAACGUAACUUAAUAUAGAAAAGUUGUACUGAGAUGUGGGUGGUUGAUAUGAUAAACCUGAUUGUUUGGUCUGUAAGCUUCUGGAACUACUUUGUGGGAGGAAUGUGGAAAACUUUGGAGCUGUGGGCUAAAUAAUCCUUAGAGUGCUCAAGGCAGAGCUCAGCAAAGCAUUCUGAUUGGAGUGCAGGCCACUAGGAUGCUGACAGAGUGGCAAACAGUAUAAAUUGUUCAUGAUGUUUCAGAGAAAUGCAAGAACUAUGUUGGGAAAUGAGCUGGGAGCCAAUUUGUGUUGGAUUCUGGCAAAGAAUCUGGCGUCGUUGUACCCAUGGCCUGAAUACUACAGUGAGACUGAAUUCCAAAGAAAUGGACAGAAUUAUUUGGUGUAGGAAAUUUCAAGACAGAAUAAUAGAUCAUCUCUGUCUUGGUUAUCGAUUGCUGCAUUUACCUAGAUUUCCACAAAAGAGGAGCACAGAGUGAGCCUCAAAGAUGCAGAACAGGAAUUUGUGCCCAGUGAAAGAUAAGGACAGGGUGUAUUCAGACAAAGCAUCUAUAACUGUUAAGGAGAUUAAUGCCACAAAAGAGAAAGCUUACUUUUUAGUUUGUUUGUUUCAUAGGAACAAUAAGAAAAUUGUUCUGGUGGUGAAAUCCUACCUGUCAAAGGCUCCAACUUGUGAAAAGGCAAACUUGUUUGAAAGAAGAGAACCUGAACUGAAUGUGUAACAGAGGAGCAAGGACCUUGUCUGCUAUGGGUUCCACUUCAUUCCUGGUACAAACACUUGCCACAUCACAGGUUCUUGGGCAUAUUUCCACAACAAACAAAUAGAAGAAAGGAUGAAUGGACCUGCUUCUGUGAGCCCUUGGCUUCAUUCCACAGAGGAGCAUUUCAGUGUUUAUGAAACAAGGGUACUCAAGUACAGCAAAUCCGUUUCCCAUGCCAAGAGCUAAAAGUGCACUAUCAUCAACUUUCCACCAUUUCACAUCUUAACCUUAGAAGAGCACACAUCAUUGUCAUGAUUUCUUGUGGAGGUGAGCCUUAUUUUUCUUUUUUAAAUACUGGAACAACAGAAACAGGACUGGUAGGUUUUUCAGAAGGAAUAGUUACAAUGUGAACAUGACUGUGUGACAGCUGUCUCUUACAGUCCCUCACUCUCGCAUGGGUCCUCACGUCUCAGUCUCAGGACACUGUGCUUACAAGCUUACUGUCCCUGCCACCGCCCCUACUCACCUGAAAACCCUGAGGGGAGUGACUAUGGCUGAGACAACUUUGAUCUGUAGCACAGCGCCCUAUGGUAGGCAUCCCAUGAAUGUUGCUUGAGCGGAUGAUUCUGAACAUGAUAUGAGUUAUGCAAACUGUCCUGUUGGCAUACUUUCCUCUACACUGACAAUGAAGUAAAAAAUCCUUAUGGCCCCAUGAAAAUCUGUGAUCUUUGGAAGAUAUUUUUAUCAUUGCCACCACUUUAUCCUCUCUUCCUUUCCCUCAAUUCCUUUCAUCCUCCUUAUCCCUUAUGCCUUCCUUUCUCACUCCAUUCUUCCCUCCCUCCCUCCUCUGACAAGACAGUAUCAUCUAUCACUGUAGUGUCAAUGUGCGGAUAAACAUGAAGACUCAGGAGGAUGAGGAUGAUAGGGCCUGAAAAGAGAAGUUAUUGGGGAGGAAACAGUGAUGUAGCUCAGUGUUUCUUUCAGGAGAAGAAGUUGAUGAGGGGCUGACAAUGCUCAUGGUAACACAGUGGAAGCACAGUCAGGAAUAGUAAAGGGACAUUUGGACUGUCCACUUGGAACUCCCGUGGAAGAAGCAACUUCAGAUUCUUCCCAGAGAGGUUCAUUUGAUGAUAAAGUAAUUUCCCCAGGAGACAGGUGAGAAUGUGACUUUUCAGGUGCUGAAGGACAAACCAGAGGAGGAAAGAGCAGCUGUUAUUUACAGUUAUCACAGUGUGGUCAGGUGUAGAACAACACCGACUCAGCUCUCCAGGCUUACAGAGUAAACUGGUAUAAAAUUACCUAGUUUCCAUUACCAGAGUCCUCUCUGAGAUGCUACGGUCCUCAGCUUGGUUCUUAGGGCUUUGUUGGCUAUCGAAAGCUCCUAAGGCUAAAGGGAAUAGGAGUAUAGGGCUAGAAAGGAUACUCCCUGGGAAAGGAGAGGAUGCCAAGUAAAAAGGAAGACAAACCCAUUUGGAUCCUUACAGAAGAGACUGGACUUGAGUUACAUGAAAUGGAAGGUUGGUUUAGAAAUUGUCUGAGCAUAGUUUCCUGAUCCUGUGAUAAAAUACCCCAACAAAAGCACUUCAGGGAAGAAGGGUUUAUUUGACUUACAAUUCCAUGAUUCUAGCUAAGUCAAACUUGCAAGAACUUAAAGAAGCUAAUUGUGUUAAAUCUACAGUCAAACACAGAGAGCCAUUGAUCAAUGUGUGCAUUUCAGUGCUCAGUUUACUUUCUUUACUCAUACAGUCAGGGCCAUAAGCCUAGGGAGUGGUGCUGCUAAUGGUGGGCAGGCCUUCCCUUGUCAGUUAAUGUAAUUAAAAUGUUCUUCUACAGGUAAUAUUACAGGUCAAUUUGUUUUCCCAGCUUGUGUCAUGUUGAUAGUUAAACUAGCAGUCACAAAAACUAUUACUUGAGAAUUUAGAACCCUAGGUUAUAUAGGUAUUUAGGGGGAAUUGAUGAAGAAGUUAUUUCAUACUGAGCAGCAUUGACCGAGCACAGCUGGCAUCUCUAAGGAAAGAGCAGGACAAUUCAUGUGGGGAAGAGACAGGCUUUCCUGAAGUGAAGCUUCUCCCUCCCUCCAGCUCACUCUCUGGUACUGUGCUUCUGACCCCAUGCCUGAGUUCUAUCCUUAGUGGUGAUCUUGGGUGAGCUAAUGGUUAGCUUCCUUAGAUGUGACCUCAUACAGAUUGUACUACAAGUCAGUAGAUAUCUACUGAGCCAAUGCCAAGCCUAUGGCACUGUGACAGAUACAAAAGUAGACACAAAACAAUUAAAAUGUCAGAGUACUAGAAUAUCACUUAGUCCAAAUUCCAAUUCCUACUUCAUCAUUACCCGCUUCCUUCCUGAACAUGUCAAAUGAUGGAGCGCUCAGAGCCACUGCAGGGAAUCUCUUCCUUCAGAGAGAUCUGACUCUUAGAAAGACAUUCCUCCCAUGGAACCCAAAUGGCUCUGCAUAAACAAAUUAUACACAUUGAUCCUGCUUACAUAGCUUAUAGUUCUAUGGAACUGAUAUUUCAAGUCACCCCUUGGCAGCCCUUCAAAUAUCUGAAACUUCAUGCUUCCUUGAGUCUGACUUUCUUGAACAGUAUUGGAUGCUUUUAUUGUUUCAAAUACAUAGAGAUUUUAAAUUUCCUUUUGAGUUGGGCCACUCUCCUCUGAAUGUACUCUAAUCUAUUAUAAAGUAGAAGGCCUUGGGCAGUGUGCAUUAAUCCAUGUAUGAUCCAUCUUAAAAUGAAGCAGUGGUUGCCACUCCCUUUGGGACUCCACUCUCCAUUAAUGUACCUUACACAGUACUGACCUUGGCAGCCUCCUGUGGUGACUCAUAUUGAAUGUAUCAUAGGUCUGUUUGCUGUCACAUCUCUUUGGUACUUUAUUUGCAAAGCUCUUCUCUACACCUAUGUAUAGGACCUUGGGUAUAUUCAUAUCAAGUAGUCAGUUUCUAAAAGCUUCCUCUAACAACUUAAAUGCAGAAUGUAUUCUUCAUUGCAUAUUCUGGUCAAAUGCUUGCAGGAUAAAGAUAAGACUUUUUGUGGCAAUUUGACAAUGCAUCCAAAAGACAGCAAGACCAUUCCCUCAAAGGAUUAAAAAUUAGAAUUCUUUGCUGAUGACUUCUCUAAGAAGCAUGGACUAAGGACACCCAAUCUAUCAUUGCUCACUGUGAAGGACUACCUAGUGAUCUGAACUAGAUGUUGAACUCUCAUUUCCUCCUGUAUCAUGUCUGCCUGGAUGCUGCCAUGCUCCCACCUGUAGUCUCC